CCCUGCCCUUUGUACACACCGCCCGUCGCUCCUACCGAUUUCGAGUGAUGUGGUGAACUAUCUGGACUGUGGACGGGCUUGAACCGUUCGCGGGAAGUUUCGUAAACCUUAUCACUUAGAGGAAGGAGAAGUCG
rnacentral:rRNA from 1 species